rnacentral:tRNA from 2 species
GCGGAGGUUGCCGAGCUUGGAAAAGGCGCAAGGUUGAGGGCCUUGUUCCGCAGGGAUCCGAGGGUUCAAAUCCCUUCCUCCGCA